AUGGGUGAUAAGGGAGGAGACAACCAUUCGGAAGUGACUGACUUCAUUCUUGCAGCAUCAGGGUCCGUCCAGAGUUCCACAGUCUCCUCUUCCUGCUAUUCCUGAUCGUUUAUGGGAUGGUCCUUCUGGGAAACCUUAGUAUGAUUGGCAUCAUUGUGACUGAUCCCCAGCUAAACACACCAAUGUAUUUCUUCCUAGGCAAUCUCUCCAACACUGACCUCUCCUACUCCACUGUUAUUGUACCCAGAGCCAUGGUCAACAUCCUGUCUCAGAAAAAGACCAUAUCCUUUGCAGGUUGUGUGGCUCAGCUCUUUCUUUAUGCACUUUUCAUGGUAACAGAGGCCUUUGUCUUGGCAGCCAUGGCCUAUGACCAUUUCAUUGCUAUCUGCAACCUGCUCCUCUAUACUGUCCACAUGUCAAGAAGUCUCUGUAUCCAGUUGGUGGCUGGUUCUUAUCUCCAUGGCUGCGUCAGUUCCAUUCUUCAAAUCAGUGUAACAUUCUCAAAUGUCCUUCUGUGCCUCUCGAGUCAUUGAUCACUUCUACUAUGAUUCAAACCCGAUUGAGAAGAUCUCCUGUUCCAAUGUCUUUAUCAAUAAGAUGGUGUCACUUGGUUUGGCUAUCCUCUUUAUUUGCCCACAAUAGUUGUCACUGUAGUAUCUUACAUGAUAUUGUGUCCACAGUUUUAAAGAUCUGCUCCAGCGAAGGAAGGUGGAAAGGCUUCUCCACUUGCAGCUCCCAUCUGGGGGUUGUAAGUUUGCUCUAUGGGGCUGUCUCCUUUGUCUACCUCACACCGCCAAAUAACCCAGAACUUCGUAAAGUGGCUUCAGUAUGUUACAUUUUAUUCACACCUAUGCUGAACCCUUUACUCUACUCUCUAAGAAAUAAAGAUGUUAAAGAUGCCAUGAGAAAAGUCGUAUGGAAGAAAAAAGUUUUACUCUAAAUAUAUUUCCACUUGACUUACUGUUUCUUGCAUC